rnacentral:rRNA from 1 species
GACCCAUCUUUCAGUGAGGAAUACCGGCGAGAAAUCGCCGACAAUACCGCAUGAGCUCUUCUUUGUGAGAGGAGGAGAGCAAAGUCGCAAGACGCUGGAAGCUGGGCCCGUGGCCGAUUAGCUAGUUGGUGGGGUAAGAGCCUACCAAGGCGACGAUCGGUAGCUGGUCUGAGAGGACGAUCAGCCACACUGGGAUUGAGAACGGCCCAGACUCCUACGGGGGGCAGCAGUGAGGAAUUUUCGGCAAUGGGGGCAACCCUGACCGAGCAACGCCGCGUGCAGGACGAAGGUUUUCGGAUCGUAAACUGCUUUUCUUGGGGACGAGAGUGGACGGUACCCAAGGAAUCAGCCCCGGCUAACUACGUGCCAGCAGCCGCGGUAAU